rnacentral:rRNA from 1 species
AGUGAACGCUGGCGGUAGGCCUAACACAUGCAAGUCGAACGGCAGCACAGUAAGAGCUUGCUCUUACGGGUGGCGAGUGGCGGACGGGUGAGGAAUACAUCGGAAUCUACUUUUUCGUGGGGGAUAACGUAGGGAAACUUACGCUAAUACCGCAUACGACCUACGGGUGAAAGCAGGGGAUCUUCGGACCUUGCGCGAUUGAAUGAGCCGAUGUCGGAUUAGCUAGUUGGCGGGGUAAAGGCCCACCAAGGUGACGAUCCGUAGCUGGUCUGAGAGGAUGAUCAGCCACACUGGAACUGAGACACGGUCCAGACUCCUACGGGAGGCAGCAGUGGGGAAUAUUGGACAAUGGGCGCAAGCCUGAUCCAGCCAUACCGCGUGAGUGAAGAAGGCCUUCGGGUUGUAAAGCCCUUUUGUUGGGAAAGAAAAGCAGCAGGUUAAUACCCCGCUGUUCUGACGGUACCCAAAGAAUAAGCACCGGCUAACUUCGUG